GCCGCGGUGGCGGAAUUGGUAUACGCGCUUGACUUAGGAUCAAGUGGAGCAAUCCUUGAGAGUUCGAGUCUCUCCCGCGGCA
rnacentral:tRNA from 2 species